rnacentral:rRNA from 1 species
AUCAGCAAUUGGAGGCAUUGCCUGCCCAGUGACAACUGUUUAACGGCCGCGGUAUCCUGACCGUGCAAAGGUAGCAUAAUCAUUUGUUCUCUAAAUAAGGACUUGUAUGAAUGGCCGCACGAGGGUUUUACUGUCUCUUACUUCCAAUCAGUGAAAUUGACCUUCCCGUGAAGAGGCGGGAAUGCACAAAUAAGACGAGAAGACCCUAUGGAGCUUUAACUAACCAACCCAAAGAGAAUAGAUUUAACCAUUAAGGAAUAACAACAAUCUCCAUGAGUUGGUAGUUUCGGUUGGGGUGACCUCGGAGAAUAAAAAAUCCUCCGAGCGAUUUUAAAGACUAGACCCACAAGUCAAAUCACUCUAUCGCUCAUUGAUCCAAAAACUUGAUCAACGGAACAAGUUACCCUAGGGAUAACAGCGCAAUCCUAUUCAAGAGUCCAUAUCGACAAUAGGGUUUACGACCUCGAUGUUGGAUCAGGACAUCCUGAUGGUGCAACCGCUAUCAAAGGUUCGUUUGUUCAACGAUUAAAGUCCUACGUGAUCUGAGUUCAGACCGGA